UUAUUUGAGAGUUUGAUCCUAGCUCAGGGUGAACGCUGGAAAUGUGGAUACCGGCAUGCAAGUCGAGCGGUCGUUUGUGCCUCACUGCGUUUGGCAAAACUCCCUAAAUUCAAAAAUCAAAAAUCAAAACGCAAAAUUAAGGAAUCAAGAAUUUUCAAUAAAAAUUCUUGAUAUUAUAAUCGUCGCGCCGUGGUGCGACUCCAAAAUUUUGAUAUUUGGUCUUUGCGUUUUGCAUUUAGCGAUUGCCGAGCAUAGCGAGGCAUGAGCGACAGCGGCGAACGGCUUAGUAACACGUAGAUACAUACCCAAAAGUGGGGCAUAGCUCGUCGAAAGGCGGGGUAAUUUCCCAUAGUCUCGCAAGAGUAAACACGCAAGUGGCUUUUGGAAUGGUCUGCGGUCUAUCAG
rnacentral:ncRNA from 1 species